UUAUGUUAUUAUUAUUAUUAUUAUAAAAUAAGUGUCUUGCUCUGUAAUGUAACACUGGUUAGAUAUUUUACGUUACUUUUACAUUUAUGUUGAGAGGAUUUUAUAAUCUCUUCUUAUGGAAGUUGUUGAAUAAUUUUCUAAAUGAUGGCGAUGUCGUACUGUUGACGGCCGAAGUGCUUAUGAAAUUCAGUUCUGAGUAUGAUGAAUUUUAUUGGAAUAUCAUGGAAGAUAAACCUAUUUAAAUAAGUGAUUUUAUGCAUCUUAGGAUUAUCUGACUGGUUUAGAAAUUUCAUUGGCAGGAAUAAUUCAUUCUUUGAAAAGCAUAUGAACUUAUAAAUUUUCAAACACAAUCAGUGUUAAUUUUAAUGAGUUUUCGUGAAGAAGUGUAAUACUCCCUUGAUAUGUUUUUAAACUCUGAUAAACGUUUUUAAAUAAAACAAUGGGAAAAAGGGGGUGUUACAUUAGUGGUAUCAGAGCAUGGUCGGUUAGUAGACUAGGUUUAUCAGCAUGUUUAUUAACAUGUUUAAUUCCUUUUGUAUUCGAUAUGUGUCUAUGACACAAUCGAUAUUGUUUUGGUCAGUAGGAUAGAAGAAGUCCUACCCCGAGUUGUUCAUUUAAGGUAAUUUUCGAGGGCGAAAAUUCUUAAGUGGGGGAGAGUUGUAACACCCCACUUUUCGUUAUUAGGUUAUUUAUUAUUUUAUCUUAAUUAUUAUUAUGCUAUAUGGUAAUUUGAUGAAUUAUGUGAUUAUAAUUUAAAUCUCAUGUGAUAUAGAAUAAGAUUUAGAUAAAUAAGUUUGUUAGGUUUUUGUGUGAGUAAUUGAGAGUGGGGCCCAUUAGUAUGACUAUUUAAGGGAUAUGAGUGAAUUAGAAAGAGAGAAAUCAGAAUUUGAGAAUUGGAGAAGUUAGCAGAGGAGAAGAAAAGAAGCGUGAAAGAGAGAAGGGGAGAAAAGAGAAGAAAAAACCUAGAAUUUGAUCUUCAAGAGGUACAGGAGGUAGAGAUGUGGCUCAUGAGGAGUAGCUUCGGAGAGUCUUAGCUUAUGUUAUUAUUAUUAUUAUUAUAAAAUAAGUGUCUUGCUCUGUAAUGUAACACUGGUUAGAUAUUUUACGUUACUUUUACAUUUAUGUUGAGAGGAUUUUAUAAUCUCUUCUUAUGGAAGUUGUUGAAUAAUUUUCUAAAUGAUGGCGAUGUCGUACUGUUGACGGCCGAAGUGCUUAUGAAAUUCAGUUCUGAGUA